GCUGGUGGUCCCCGCCGGCCACCACCCCGUCUGGCGCUCUGCGCGGGGUGAGCGUGCAAACUUGGAGUUGCUGCUCCAGUUCUGAGGAUUCUGUGACGCGGAGAGAGGAGGGUGUGCAGGACCACAGAAGAAAGAUCUAACCCAGUUCUUGGCCUGAAUGAACUCGAGAGCCCAGGCACCUAGUGCCACGAGGAGUCAGAAGUCCCUCCGGAGCUAGCCCAACUGAGCACCCUCCCCGGAGCCACCUGGGGCUGCUGACCUCACAAGUCAGGCAGAGCCCUUCCUGCACCCUGACCGGACCAGGAACAGGCCCGGCUUCCCCUGCUCCUGUGCUGGAGCCUGGAGGGUGGAGUGGGAUUAGAUAAAAUUAAGCUCCCAACCCACUGAAAUAGAAGGUCCGGCUGGGAUUUGGCCAUUUUGUUUACGGGCAUAUCCCUGGCCCUGAGAACAAUGCUUGGCGCAUAGUAGCUGCUCAGUAAAUAUUUGAGCGGCUGAAUGACUAUAAUAAAAGUCUUCAGAUUCUUAAGAAUUAAA